GCAAUUGAAAAACGCGGCGACAAAUUUCGCGGGAACAUGACGUCACGAUAUCUUUAGUUGUGUGUUAAAAUCAGUGAUACAAGCUAUGCAUGUAGAGAAGUGACAUCAGCGCCUCCUGGUAGUGAGGCGUAAACCUAAAAUUUGCAUCAAAAUCACAAGAGUGGAGCUUGGAGGGCCUGUUACAACUAUAAACGUACUUUACCAUGUUGAGAAUUUAUUUAGUUUGUGCACUUUUGUUAAUCUUGUACAUAAUUAGAAAAUUAUGUAUAAAAAUAUUAAGAAAACGUAAAAAUGUUUGCGUUCUUGUUCUUGGAGACUUAGGUAGAAGUCCUAGAAUGCAAUAUCAUGUAACAUCAUUUGUAAAAGAAGGUUUUACGGUAGAUUUUAUAGGUUAUCCUGGUGCACUACCAUUAAAAGAAAUUAGAGAAAAUCCUCAAAUACGCAUUUACUAUCUUUCAUCACCUCCCAGCCUAGAAAACAAGUUGUCACUCUUUUUGUGCUAUGUUAUAAAAACAUUAUGGCAAAGUUUUAAUCUGUUAUGGAUUUUAUUUUACAAACAUAUACCAACUCAUAUGCUGGUGCAAAAUCCACCUGCAAUACCAACAAUCCCAAUUUGUUGGUUGUACUGUAUCAUUGUGGAUUCACAUUUCACUAUUGAUUGGCAUAAUUAUGCAUUUACUCUUAUGGGACUUAAUUUAAGAAAUGAUCAUUUGCUUGUAAAGUUUGCAAAAACUAUUGAAAUGUAUUUUGGUUCGAAAGCACAUGACAAUUUCUGUGUUUCUCAGGCAAUGAGAAAAGAUUUACAACUAAAUUGGAAAAUCAAAGCGGAAGUAUUAUAUGAUCGCCCAACAAAUGAAUUUCAUCCCAUAUCGUUAAAAGAAAAACAUAUGUUUUUAAUGAAACUAAGCAAAAAAUAUAAUGUAUUUAAAGGUCAAAAGGAAAAUACAACUAUAUUUACAGAAUGUACAAAAAAUGAAAUACAGUUAUCUUCUAAAAGAUCUGGUUUUAUCGUGUCAAGCACAAGUUGGACUGAAGAUGAAGAUUUUUCAAUAUUAUUAAAUGCGUUGGAAGAAUAUGAAAAUAUGAUUGUACAAGGUAUUUGUAAUCUACCUGAUUUACUUUGUGCAAUAACUGGUAAAGGUCCAUUAAAAGAAUUUUAUAAAAGUAUAAUAGAAUUGAAAAAUUGGAAACACGUUACAGUUAUAACGCCAUGGUUGGAAAAUGAAGAUUAUCCUAAAAUGCUGGCUAGUGCAGAUUUAGGUAUUUGUCUUCACACAUCGUCUAGUGGUUUGGACUUACCAAUGAAAGUUGUUGAUAUGUUCGGAUGUGAACUUCCAGUGUGUUCGUAUAAUUUUGAAUGCUUAUCAGAACUUGUUAAUCAUGAACAGAAUGGAAUGAUUUUUUCAAGUUAUAAAGAAUUAACACAACAAUUAAAAACAUGGUUUGAAAAUUUCCCUCAUAAUGAUGCUCAACAGAAAUUAGAUAAAAAAUUCCGGAAAGAACUGCAUAAAUUUAAAGAAGAUCGAUGGCAUGAUAAUUGGAUUUCUAUUGUGUUACCUUAUUUUAAAUGAUAAUGUGGGGCGCAUUGUGUAUGUAUGGAAGUCGUGGAUGAGCAACAAUAACCGCUUAGGUGAACUGAGUUUUACACAUUCCAAAAUCAACAUUUUGAACUUUUUCCUAUACAUACAUGGUGUCCCAGAACUCGGAUAGAGCCGAAGAGGAAUGAUUGCUAAGGUCACGGUAAACAACUUUUUCCUUUGCCAAAAUGUUGUUUAAGGCUUCGUUUCGAGUUAUUAACGAAAAACACUGGCUAAUCAGAGCGCGCCUUUAGCGCGGGCCAAACCACGAGAGUGUUGGGUAUGCUCUACGUUCAAGCCGUGGUCUUGAUCAAGUGCAUCGGCACCACGUCGGUAUAAUAGGGCAAAAGUUGUAUCGAAUAAUGAAUAAAAAAAAGAAAAGAAUAAUAGUAUCGAAUUAUUGAUUGCUCAUGAAUAACGACUAAAGUAAUGAAUUGUUGUUCAUGUAGAAUGAACAAUGAAUUUGUGCCCAGUACAAUAGCAACGUGACAGUGAAUAAAAAUGUUUAUUUUCACUACUACGUAGUGAAAUUCUGUGAAAAGUGAUAGUGACCGUGUGAUUGAGUGAGUUCAAUGAUCUAGUCUGGAGAUCAGCUGUUGAUCAUAUCGUGUGCUCUCCUCGAAUGUUCAGGAUCGGCACAAUGAUCCAGUGAAAAACCAUUUUCAUUGCAGCUGGAUUAUUUACAGACGAAUUGGUAACUUUCAUUUACAUUCAAUCCUGUUUUUAUUAUUUGCAAAUUUAUUUUUAUAUCCAAAACGUUAAUUCGUUUUUCUCAUUUUUUUUUCAAAAAUGACUACCAAGUAUUUUUCUAAAUUCCUAUCGUACAACAAAUAAAAGUGUUGGAUCAAUUCGAUUUAUUCAUUCUACAUGAACAACGAUUCAUUACUUUAUUCGUUGUUCAUGAGCAAUCAAUAAUUCGAUACUAUUAUUCUUUUCCUUUUUUUAUUCAUUAUUCGAUACA